UACGGAGGGGGCUAGCGUUGUUCGGAAUUACUGGGCGUAAAGGGCGCGUAGGCGGUGCGAUCAGUCAGGCGUGAAAGGCCCGGGCUCAACCCGGGGACUGCGCUUGAUACUGUUGCGCUGUGAGUCCGGGAGAGGAUGGCGGAAUUCCCAGUGUAGAGGUGAAAUUCGUAGAUAUUGGGAAGAACACCGGUGGCGAAGGCGGCGAUCUGGACGAUGACUGACGCUGAGGCGCGAAAGCGUGGGGAGCAAACAGG
rnacentral:rRNA from 1 species